AUUGAACGCUGGCGGCAUGCCUUACACAUGCAAGUCGAACGGCAGCGGGGGAGAAGCUUGCUUUUCCUGCCGGCGAGUGGCGAACGGGUGAGUAAUACAUCGGAACGUGCCCUGUAGUGGGGGAUAACUAGUCGAAAGAUUAGCUAAUACCGCAUACGACCUGAGGGUGAAAGUGGGGGACCGCAAGGCCUCAUGCUAUAGGAGCGGCCGAUGUCUGAUUAGCUAGUUGGUGGGGUAAAGGCCUACCAAGGCGACGAUCAGUAGCUGGUCUGAGAGGACAAUCAGCCACACUGGGACUGAGAAACGGCCCAGACUCCUACGGGAGGCAGCAGUGGGGAAUUUUGGACAAUGGGCGAAAGCCUGAUCCAGCAAUGCCGCGUGUGUGAAGAAGGCCUUCGGGUUGUAAAGCACUUUUGUCCGGAAAGAAAUGGCUCUGGUUAAUACCUGGGGUCGAUGACGGUACCGGAAGAAUAAGGACCGGCUAACUACGUGCCAGCCGCCGCAGUAA
rnacentral:rRNA from 1 species